ACAUUAGGGGAGUAAGUUUGGCUCGUCAUAUUGAAUAUUUUCAUUAUAAUUUUAAUUAUUAAAAAAUAAUUAGUAUUUUUUAUUUUUAUAAAAAUAUUGAAAGUAUCAAUAUUAAGGACAGAUUUAUAACCGUAAUGAAGUCGUAACAAGGUAAUCGUAGGUGAACCUGCAGAAGGAUC
rnacentral:misc_RNA from 1 species